GCUCUGGCCGAGUCAACACUACCUACUCUAGACUUGCCUCUGCCUCCAGAAGUAUUCUCCCGUGAAGCCCUGCUCACCGUUCGCUUUGGCGGACCUGAGCCAGUCUCCUGGUAGCCGUGUCAAGCCAGCCUGAGUCCAGACCAGCCUUUGGAUGAAACACCAUACCACUCGGGCGUGCUGGUGGUUCUGCAUCCACCACUUGUUUCAAUCCCGGUUACUGCUGGAUACCACUCUGCCUACUCUCCACUCCUACACCCUGCUCCAUUCCUCGUCCUCUUUUUUGGGUUCCUGUACCCGUGUGCUGCCCGGGACGGCCGUGUGUGAAGUGAAUGGGCGUGGUACCAGCGCUAGACCAACGUCCAUAUAGUUCGUGUGUGUUAGAGGAGUGCUCUUCUUUCAUUAAAGUGGUCUGUCUUAUCCACUCUCUGCAGCUCUGGUAGAGAAGGCCACAUCCCUGGUCUUUAGUAGAAGGAGGCAGUGUUCACUUCCAUUUUGUGUUACCUGCCUCGAGCUUUCACAAGUGGCGACCUCGCCAGGAUUGUGCCUUCUCGAGCCUUUGUUGGGGAGUAUGCGGAGUGCUAACGGUCAUCGUUGGGGGACAGGUACUGUUACCUUCUCCAGCUCAUUAUCCAAGGCUCGGAAGUGAUUUUUUUUUUUUACUGUUGGUUUGUGAGGGCUUGUUUCUAAUCAGUUGCGUCUUUAAAGACUUAUGGUAAAGUCUUAUGUUGUUAGGUUAGGUGCGGAGUUUUCUCCUCACGUUUAUUCUAUUGCUUCCUUGGGCGUCCUUUAUUCACGUAUUAUUGUUUCCUUUGCUGUGUUUUCUUAGUGUUGUGUUCAUCUCAUGUCUUCUAUCAAGGAGCUAGUUGAGUUGGGAAGAGAUGGGACUUGGGAGUGACGACCUAUGUGAGUUUGUUUCUACUCUGCAAGCUUUGUAACGAGACGAACGACAAAAGGAACGAGAAAGAGUGAAGAGAGGAAAGAAGGAAAAGGAAAGAACAUGCCCUUGCCAUGUCCGAAUUAAAGCGGAAGUUGUCGCUGCAAGAACAAGGAACGAACAGAUCCAGAUCUUGCCUGGGGAUUGUGGGACUGUUCCCCGACCUUCUCUACACCCCACCAGUCUAUCAAGAUGAUGAUAUCCUGCUUCACACGUUUUGAAUGCAUUGCUGCCCUCCUCAACAUCCUGAGGACAACUAUGCCAUAUGACUGGGUGGUCUUCUCUCUGAUAUAAGAACCUUCUUGAAAGAAAACGACGUGCAGACCUUGGACGACGCUGUCAAAUGUGCAGAUAUUUGGGCAGCUGCCCAUCGUGCUUACCUGAGACACACCCCUUACUGGACCUAAGAAGCCGUCACCUACAUCAACUACUACCAACCAAGCUUCUCGCCGAUCUCUUCCACCGGCCAGAAAGUCUUCCACACCCGUCGGGUGUCACAAUUGUGGGGAGCCAGGACACAUUCGACCUCGAUGUCCCCAAAAUCCAGCUUUGUUCAGGACUGGUAGCACUCCUCAACCAGACACACAUAAGGUGGGUUUCUGCUUCAGUGAUCUACUAAUCUCUACUUUUCUUCUGGCACCAUCAAUGGAGCGAGAGUAUCUACUAUCAUACGUGACACUGGCUGUUCCUGUGUCCUUGUAUCUGAGGAAGCCUUACCUGAUGUAGACGUCUCUCAGUGUCCUAAAGUUCUUGUUUCUGACUAUUUAGGAAGAGUGGACUCCUUCCCUCAGAUACGAUGCUACCUUUGCUGUCCCUUCUACAAAGGUUAUGUUGAUGCUGUUCGUGCUCCAAUUAAGUUCUGUAGUGUUCUGGUUGCUAAUGUGGAAGGAGUGAGCACACCAGACGAGAACUUGAAAAAGGUUUGUCUGCCUCGGCAUUCUUCACCUGUCCCUGAGAAGGUUCAAGUUGUUGAAACCCGGAGCCGCGUGGCACGAACUCCAACCUAUUACCAUUACUCCCCGGGAAUUUUCUCGCCUGCAGGAUUCAUGUUCCUCCCUUCAGGCUCUCCGUCAUAAGGCAUCAACUGGUGAAGAAGAGGUAACUCGCAGUGGUUCGAACUACUCUACCGAGUGUGCCGUUCUUCUAGCAACCAAGAACAAGUGGGAAAGACUUUGGUCAUCCCUGCUGAGUGUCGUCGCCUGGUGUUGUCUCUUGCCCAUGAGGGUCCAAUGUUGGGACACUUCUCCCACAAGAAGACUAGAGGUAAGGUUUGCCACCACUUCUAUUGGCCUGGGGUAGGAGCUGACAUCCCAGCUUUUUGUAAGUCUUGUGAUAAAUGUCAACGUAUGUCAGCAAAAGGAAGAGUGCGCCCUGUACCUUUACAGCCUCUACCUAUCAUCACUGAACUGUUUCUUAAGAGUGGCUAUUGACAUCGUGGGUCCCUUGUCUCCACCAUCAUCUGAAGGCCAUCGUUACCUUAACUUUAAUUGAUUUUGCAACCGGAUUCCCAGAAGCCGUACCUCUCAGAAAUAACCUCUAUUGCCAUUGCAGAAGCCUUGUUGUCCAUCUUCUCCAGGGUUGGCAUCACUUGAGAAAUACCGUCUCCUGUGCUGAAUUCCGGCUUCCGACCUGACGCCUGGGAGACGAGACCGAGGGAAGGCAGAUUCUCCUGAGCUCUGGCGAAGUCAACACUACCUAGACUUGCCUCUGCCUCCAGAAGUAUUCUCCCAUGAAGCCCUGCUCACCGCUCGCUUUGGGGGACCUGAGCCAGUCUCCUGGCAGCCAUGUCUAGCCAGCCUGAGUCCAGACCAGCCUUUGGAUGAACCACCAUACCACUCGGGCUUGCUGGUGGUUCUACAUCCACCUCCUGUUUCAAUCCUGGUCACUGCUGGAUACUGCUCUGCCUACUCUCCACCCCUACACCCUGCUCCAUUCCUUGUCCUCUCCUUGGGUUCCUGUACCUGUGUGAUGCCUGGGACAGCCGUGUGUGAAGUGAAUGGGCGUGGUACCUGUGCUAGAGCAACUACCUCUCUAAGGGGUGACCAAUGUCAUGUAGUUCGUGUGUUAGAGAAGGAGUGCUUUUCUUUCAUUAAAGUGGUACUUUGUUAUGGUCUGUCUUCUCCACUCUCUGCAGCUCUGCCUCCUUCCACUAGAAACCAGGGAUGUGGCCUUCUCUACCAGUGUUGAUUUCCAUCUCGUGUGUUACCUGCCUCGAGCUUUCACAAUUUAAGGGCCACAUGAAAAGUUUGUUUAUACCAUUUUCAUCCACUUUCCAUGAAACAUUAGUUGUUUGGGACAUUUUCACACUGGCCUCUCUGUUGAACUAGACCAUAAUUUGUGUGAGCCACUUUCACUUUCCUCUUCAUUGUGAGUAGAGGUGUCCUGGUGUCGUUGGACACUGGGACUGUUGAUCGGACCAGUUUCUUAGGAGGUCCAUGGAGCCACUUUCCUUAUCCUCUCCAGCAGUGACCUAGGGAGGAUGGGUGUCCUGGGUAGACAAGGCCUUUGGAUCAGCAGCUCCUGUAGAGGACAAAAAAAAACUGAGAAAAAAUAAGAGCAAUA
rnacentral:lncRNA from 1 species